ACACAAAACAUGCCAGGGCAAUGUGAAAAGCGUGAAAAGCGUGGAGGAGUCCACAGUUCCCGGCAAGGAGACCACCGAGAUGGAUGGCGAUAAAGUCAGGGAGGGUCCAGGACUUUUCCAGUGAGGCGGGUGUCAGUGGGAGUUGGGCCGGAAAACCCAACAAAAGGAGCAGCCGCAAGCAACCGCAAGGGGGAAAAGCUGGAAAGCCCAGGGAGCCCAGCAGGACUUGUUUUGUAUUUGUCCCGAAAAAAGGAGGAGAGCAAAAAUUUGUUUUAAUGCCACGCUCUUUUUAUGCUUUUCUUUAUAACUUCUUUUCAGCUUUUUUGUCAUGUUACAAUUCUGCAGCGACAGCAGUAAAAAAUAAUAUCCCCACACCCGCAGCCCCCAACCGGCAACCGCAACUUGUGCAACAUCAUAAACCCAUUUGCGUUUUUAAUUAGUAACAUCGCAACUUGGCGGACUGAAGCGGUCGGCCGAGGGCGAAAAGUAAAUGACCAUGCACAAAAUGUUGCACAGAUAAUAAGUCCUGGCCUCACAAGCCUCACAAAAAAGAAAAACUAGAGCAAAUAAGUGCGAACGCAACUAGCCAUGGAACAGGAACUGGGCACUGCUAACUGGGAACUGGGAGCAGCCGGUGGCCAGUUCAUCCUCAUCACCGCCAUAAAAGAGUCCGCCGCCAACAAAGUUGAAAAAGCGCAGCUCAAGUGGAGCAGCCUCCAGUCGGCGGAAAUGGUUUCGGUUUCGGGUUCGUGGCUCACUUUUUAUAUUUUUUAACCUUUUUUUUUUAGUUCGUAUAUGGGGCAACGACCCUGGGUCACUGCGACUGACCAGUGAAGAGGAUUCCGUGAGGGAGGUGCCGACAGGUGUAGUGUCCUUCAAGUGGCAGGGAUGAUCCCCCGGAACACCAACGCUAAUUAAAGACGGUGGAAAAAGUUAUUGUGAUAUCAUGGUGAAACUGGAAAGAUCUAAUGUUCUCUUCUACAUAAAUAAAGGAUUGAAAGGAUGUUUUCCCAUUAAAAUUUAGGUAAUAAAAAUAGCCGAUCAUAUAAGUCCAAUGUAUUUGGUACAUUUAAUGUUUUUAAGGUGCCAAAAUAAAUGUCGACUAGUUUAACCA
rnacentral:misc_RNA from 1 species